rnacentral:tRNA from 1 species
GUCCGAUAUGGUGUAGUGGUCAGCAUACUCCGCUUUCAGUCGGAAGCCCCGGAGAGAUUCGGGUUCGACUCCCGGGUAUGAUU